GGGAAGCCAAUGGGAACCUCCUCAUCGGAGGAGGCAAAGCCAUCGUGAGAAGCCUUUCUAUGGGAGGAGGAGAAAAGUAGCCAUCAAGAGAGAGGUGCUGUCAGGAAGGGACUCGUUGGUUGAGGAAAAUCGAGAGAAGCCUAACCGAAGGAGUGGAUGUUGUCCAAACAAAGCUCAUUGGAGGAGAGAACUCAUUAGGAAGAAACAUUUAUGUCGCAGAUCCAUUAGGAGGGGUGUGCCAUUAGGAGUAGGGCACGAGAGAGCCAUGUCUUUUCUAGAGUGGGGAGAUUUGUCAACAGGGUCGUCAUCGAGGGUG
rnacentral:misc_RNA from 1 species